rnacentral:rRNA from 1 species
UACGGAGGGUGCGAGCGUUGUCCGGAGUUAUUGGGCGUAAAGAGCUUGUAGGCGGUUUGUCGCGUCUGCUGUGAAAUUUCGGGGCUCAACCCCGAACUUGCAGUGGGUACGGGCAGACUAGAGUGUGGUAGGGGAGACUGGAAUUCCUGGUGUAGCGGUGAAAUGCGCAGAUAUCAGGAGGAACACCGAUGGCGAAGGCAGGUCUCUGGGCCACUACUGACGCUGAGAAGCGAAAGCAUGGGGAGCAAACAGG